GGGGAUGUGGCGGAAUAGGCAGACGCAACGGACUUAAAAUCCGUUGAUGGCAACAUCGUGCGGGUUCAAGUCCCGCCAUCCCCACCA
rnacentral:tRNA from 1 species